rnacentral:rRNA from 1 species
AUUGAACGCUGGCGGCGUGCUUAACACAUGCAAGUCGAUCGGUAACGCGGGGGCAACCCUGGCGACGAGAGGCGGACGGGUGAGGAACGCUUGGGAAUCUGCCCUUCAGCGGGGGACAACCCGGGGAAACUCGGGCUAAUACCGCAUACGCUCCACGGAGGAAAGCCGGGGACCGCAAGGCCUGGCACUGAAGGAUGAGCCCAAGCCGGAUUAGCUAGUUGGCGGGGUAACGGCCCACCAAGGCGACGAUCCGUAGCUGGUCUGAGAGGACGAUCAGCCACACCGGAACUGAGACACGGUCCGGACUCCUACGGGAGGCAGCAGUGGGGAAUAUUGGACAAUGGGGGAAACCCUGAUCCAGCGACGCCGCGUGGGUGAAGAAGGCCUGCGGGUUGUAAAGCCCUUUCGGUAGGGACGAAAGCUCUUGCCUUAACACGGCAGGAGGUUGACUUAACCUACAUAAGAAGCACCGGCUAACUCUGUGCCAGCAGCCGCGGUAAGAC